rnacentral:rRNA from 1 species
UACGGAGGGGGCUAGCGUUGUUCGGAAUUACUGGGCGUAAAGCGCGCGUAGGCGGAUCUGCAAGUCGGGGGUGAAAUCCCGAGGCUCAACCUCGGAACUGCCUUCGAUACUGCGGGUCUCGAGUCCGGGAGAGGUGAGUGGAAUUCCUAGUGUAGAGGUGAAAUUCGUAGAUAUUCGCAAGAACACCAGUGGCGAAGGCGGCUCACUGGCCCGGUACUGACGCUGAGGCACGAAAGCGUGGGGAGCAAACAGG